AAAAAGACAAACCCUGGUUUACGUGUCCAACGUUUGACUGUCCGUCUUAUUUGAAAAAAAUAUGAAAAAAAUUAAAAAGACAAGUCACGCACAAAGUAUUAAUCAUGUUUUAUCAUCUAACAAUAAUAAAAAUACGAAUUCUAAAAAAAUUUCAUAUAAGACAGACAGUCAAAGUUGGACACGGAAACCCAGGGUUUGCCUUUUU
rnacentral:pre_miRNA from 1 species